rnacentral:rRNA from 1 species
AUUGAACGCUGGCGGCAUGCCUUACACAUGCAAGUCGAACGGCAGCGGGGACUUCGGUCCGCCGGCGAGUGGCGAACGGGUGAGUAAUGCAUCGGAACGUACCCGGAAGUGGGGGAUAACGUAGCGAAAGUUACGCUAAUACCGCAUAUUCUGUGAGCAGGAAAGAGGGGGAUCUUCGGACCCCUUGCUUUCGGAGCGGCCGAUGUCAGAUUAGCUAGUUGGUGUGGUAAAGGCUCACCAAGGCGACGAUCUGUAGCGGGUCUGAGAGGAUGAUCCGCCACACUGGAACUGAGACACGGUCCAGACUCCUACGGGAGGCAGCAGUGGGGAAUUUUGGACAAUGGGCGCAAGCCUGAUCCAGCCAUGCCGCGUGAGUGAAGAAGGCCUUCGGGUUGUAAAGCUCUUUCGGCCGGGAAGAAAUCGCAUGGAUUAAUACUCUGUGCGGAUGACGGUACCGGCAUAAGAAGCACCGGCUAACUACGUGCCAGCCGCCGCCGUAAUAC